CCGCCCGACUAACGCCUAGCAAUUUUAAAAACAGAGGUUAUAUCUCACUGCUCCAGGCUCCCAACUCUUGCCAGAAAAUAAAUCGGCGGUCUCCAUGGCCAGUUCUAGCAAGAAAUCGGCCGUGAAAUUUAACUUAUUGGGUAAGCGAAACCCUGAAGAUGAUAAUUUGGAGACAAAACCGUUUCUCAAAAAACGUAAGGAAACAUCCGAGGAGAAGGAAGCUGCCAUAACAAAAAAGACGCUCUUUAUGGGCCAUCUCUGUCCCCAAACUAAAAUAUCAGAUAUCAUCGAUUUCUUCAAAGAUGUUGUACAAGUUGUUCGUGUUAGACUUUUUGUAACCGCCAAGCAUACUCAUGUGUGUUGUGGCCUUGUUGAGUUUUCUUCUACUAACGAAGCAAAGAAGGCGGUGGAAAAGAAGAAUGGUGAAUAUUUGCUUGAUUAUCGCAUUCAUCUUAAAGUGCAUAAAAAAAAUCCAAACAUUGGACGACCUAUGUUUUGCAUAGAUCACACGGUUUGUUUUGGUAUGCAUGAAGAAGAGAUCACUAGGUUUUUAAAAGAAAAUUUCAGCUACAAAGACUACCUUCGACCAGAGAGCCUUCCGGUAGAAGAUAGUGAGGCAGUGAAAGGACUUGAUGAAACUCCCCAUUUUGUUGAGCCAAGACUUCUUCCAAGAUGUUGGAGAAGUUGUUUGUGUUCGACUUAUUGUAAACCACGAGGGUAAGCAUGUGGGUUAUGGCUUUGUUGACUUUGCUUCUGCUUACGAAGCAAAGAAGGCGCUGGAAAAGAAGAAUGGUGAAUAUUUGCAUGAUCAUAAGAUUUUUCUUGAAGUGGCUACGACAGCUCCACCACGACCCA